ACGCUGGCGGCGUGCUUAACACAUGCAAGUCGAACGGAAAGGCCCUGCUUUUGUGGGGUGCUCGAGUGGCGAACGGGUGAGUAACACGUGAGUAACCUGCCCUUGACUUUGGGAUAACUUCAGGAAACUGGGGCUAAUACCGGAUAGGAGCUCCUGCUGCAUGGUGGGGGUUGGAAAGUUUCGGCGGUUGGGGAUGGACUCGCGGCUUAUCAGCUUGUUGGUGGGGUAGUGGCUUACCAAGGCUUUGACGGGUAGCCGGCCUGAGAGGGUGACCGGCCACAUUGGGACUGAGAUACGGCCCAGACUCCUACGGGAGGCAGCAGUGGGGAAUAUUGCACAAUGGGCGGAAGCCUGAUGCAGCAACGCCGCGUGCGGGAUGACGGCCUUCGGGUUGUAAGCCGCUUUCGCCUGUGACGAAGCGUGAGUGACGGUAAUGGGUAAAGAAGCACCGGCUAACUACGUGCCAGCAGCCGCGGUGAUACGUAGGGUGCGAGCGUUGUCCGGAUUUAUUGGGCGUAAAGGGCUCGUAGGUGGUUGAUCGCGUCGGAAGUGUAAUCUUGGGGCUUAACCCUGAGCGUGCUUUCGAUACGGGUUGACUUGAGGAAGGUAGGGGAGAAUGGAAUUCCUGGUGGAGCGGUGGAAUGCGCAGAUAUCAGGAGGAACACCAGUGGCGAAGGCGGUUCUCUGGGCCUUUCCUGACGCUGAGGAGCGAAAGCGUGGGGAGCGAACAGGCUUAGAUACCCUGGUAGUCCACGCUGUAAACGGUGGGUACUAGGUGUGGGGUCCAUUCCACGGGUUCCGUGCCGUAGCUAACGCUUUAAGUACCCCGCCUGGGGAGUACGGCCGCAAGGCUAAAACUCAAAGGAAUUGACGGGGCCCCGCACAAGCGGCGGAGCAUGCGGAUUAAUUCGAUGCAACGCGUAGAACCUUACCUGGGUUUGACAUGGAUCGGGAGUGCUCAGAGAUGGGUGUGCCUCUUUUGGGGUCGGUUCACAGGUGGUGCAUGGCUGUCGUCAGCUCGUGUCGUGAGAUGUUGGGUUAAGUCCCGCAACGAGCGCAACCCUUGUUCACUGUUGCCAGCACGUUAUGGUGGGGACUCAGUGGAGACCGCCGGGGUCAACUCGGAGGAAGGUGGGGAUGACGUCAAGUCAUCAUGCCCCUUAUGUCCAGGGCUUCACGCAUGCUACAAUGGCUGGUACAGAGAGUGGCGAGCCUGUGAGGGUGAGCGAAUCUCGGAAAGCCGGUCUCAGUUCGGAUUGGGGUCUGCAACUCGACCUCAUGAAGUCGGAGUCGCUAGUAAUCGCAGAUCAGCAACGCUGCGGUGAAUACGUUCCCGGGGCUUGUACACACCGCCCGUCAAGUCAUGAAAGUUGGUAACACCCGAAGCCGGUGGCCUAACCGUUGUGGGGGAGCCGUCGAAGGUGGGACUGGUGAUUA
rnacentral:rRNA from 1 species